rnacentral:rRNA from 1 species
CUGGAACGCGCUUCGGCGCACCCAGAAACCCUUUGUGAACUUAUACCUAUUUGUUGCCUCGGCGCAGGCCGGCCUCUUCACUGAGGCCCCCUGGAAACAGGGAGCAGCCCGCCGGCGGCCAACUAAACUCUUGUUUCUUUAGUGAAUCUCUGAGUAAAAAACAUAAAUGAAUCAAAACUUUCAACAACGGAUCUCUUGGUUCUGGCAUCGAUGAAGAACGCAGCGAAAUGCGAUAAGUAAUGUGAAUUGCAGAAUUCAGUGAAUCAUCGAAUCUUUGAACGCACAUUGCGCCCUCUGGUAUUCCGGAGGGCAUGCCUGUUCGAGCGUCAUUUCAACCCUCAAGCCUGGCUUGGUGAUGGGGCACUGCCUUCUAACGAGGGCAGGCCCUGAAAUCUAGUGGCGAGCUCGCUAGGACCCCGAGCGUAGUAGUUAUAUCUCGUUCUGGAAGGCCCUGGCGGUGCCCUGCCGUUAAACCCCCAACUUCUGAAAAUUUGACCUCG